UACGAAGGGGGCUAGCGUUGUUCGGAAUCACUGGGCGUAAAGGGCGCGUAGGCGGCUUUAUAAGUCGGGGGUGAAAGCCUGUGGCUCAACCACAGAAUUGCCUUCGAUACUGUAGAGCUUGAGACCGGAAGAGGUAAGUGGAACUGCGAGUGCAGAGGUGAAAUUCGUAGAUAUUCGCAAGAACACCAGUGGCGAAGGCGGCUUACUGGUCCGGUUCUGACGCUGAGGCGCGAAAGCGUGGGGAGCAAACAGG
rnacentral:rRNA from 1 species